UCCAAUCCCUAAUUUUCCCGUAUUCCUCUUUUCUUCUUCAGCAAUCCCUAAAUUCGUCUCAUGGGUCAUGACAUAAUAAUGAUAGGAGGACGGGGAAGAUCAGCAUCGUCUUCAACAACAGCGACGGCAGCCGGAGGAACAUGGGUUUCGACAGCCUCGGUGUCGGAUUCAGGGAAGAGGAUACAAAAGGAGAUGUCUGAGCUCAACGCCAACCCUCCUCCCCAUUGCACCGCUGCCCCCAAGGGCGACAGUCUCUUCCAUUGGGUCGCCACCAUCAUUGGUCCCCCUGGAACACCAUACCAAGGCGGCAUAUUUUUCCUUGAUAUGACAUUUCCGAGUAAUUAUCCCUUUCAGCCUCCCAAGGUGGUAUUCAAAACUCGAAUAUAUCACUGCAAUGUCGAUGCUGCUGGCAAUCUUAGUUUGGACAUCUUAAAGGAUAGCUGGAGCCCUGCCCUAACAAUUACAAAGGUUCUUACUGAAAUAAUAGCAAUUUUCAUAAACCCUGAUCCUUGUAAGUUCCCCAGUACCUCUUGAAUUUUGUCUAUCAUUUCUUAAUGGGUAGGCUAUUUGUCGAGUUAAACGAGUAUCCUACAAGUAACUGUGAGGAAUAAAGAGAUACUCCUCUCAUCUCCAGUGUUGCUCGCUUGUACUUGGCUGAUAAAGCUAAACAUGAUGAAAUCGCUGUGGAGUGGACGCUGCGGUUUGCUAAAUAAUCCAUCAGUAAUGCUUUAGGGAGCAAUAUAAGGUGUAACAAGUGUGAACUGAACCACAUGCCGAAUUCGUUGUAAAUUUAAGGGUUACGGAUUCUGAACUCCUUGGCAUCUAAAGUGGUUUGCCUAUCAGCUGCUCUGAAAGUGAACUAUAAUAGUAAACUGUUUGUAGACCCCAUGUUUGCAGGAAAAAUGAGGCAAUAGUGGACCGUUGAGUGAAAUGUGGUUCAGGUUGGCUUAUAUAUUAGGGUUCUUUGUUCUUAUUAGUGUUUCAUGGAGGAGAAUAAUUAAGAUAGUUCCAUGCUUUUAUAAAAUUAUAGUGUAAACAUGCUAUUUUGUAGGUACCAA